UACGUAGGGCGCAAGCGUUAUCCGGAAUUAUUGGGCGUAAAGAGCUCGUAGGCGGUUUGUCGCGUCUGCCGUGAAAGUCCGGGGCUCAACUCCGGAUCUGCGGUGGGUACGGGCAGACUAGAGUGAUGUAGGGGGGAGACUGGAAUUCCUGGUGUAGCGGUGAAAUGCGCAGAUAUCAGGAGGAACACCGAUGGCGAAGGCGGCAUCCUGGACCGGCAUUGACGCUGAGGCGCGAAAGCCAGGGGGGAGCAAAACGGGG
rnacentral:rRNA from 1 species